AUUGAACGCUGGCGGCAGGCCUAACACAUGCAAGUCGAGCGGUAGCACAGAGAGCUUGCUCUCGGGUGACGAGCGGCGGACGGGUGAGUAAUGUCUGGGAAACUGCCUGAUGGAGGGGGAUAACUACUGGAAACGGUAGCUAAUACCGCAUAACGUCUACGGACCAAAGUGGGGGACCUUCGGGCCUCAUGCCAUCAGAUGUGCCCAGAUGGGAUUAGCUAGUAGGUGGGGUAACGGCUCACCUAGGCGACGAUCCCUAGCUGGUCUGAGAGGAUGACCAGCCACACUGGAACUGAGACACGGUCCAGACUCCUACGGGAGGCAGCAGUGGGGAAUAUUGCACAAUGGGCGCAAGCCUGAUGCAGCCAUGCCGCGUGUGUGAAGAAGGCCUUCGGGUUGUAAAGCACUUUCAGCGGGGAGGAAGGCGUUAAGGUUAAUAACCUCAUCGAUUGACGUUACCCGCAGAAGAAGCACCGGCUAACUCCGUGCCAGCAGCCGCGGUAAUACGGAGGGUGCAAGCGUUAAUCGGAAUUACUGGGCGUAAAGCGCACGCAGGCGGUCUGUCAAGUCGGAUGUGAAAUCCCCGGGCUCAACCUGGGAACUGCAUUCGAAACUGGCAGGCUAGAGUCUUGUAGAGGGGGGUGGAAUUCCAGGUGUAGCGGUGAAAUGCGUAGAGAUCUGGAGGAAUACCGGUGGCGAAGGCGGCCCCCUGGACAAAGACUGACGCUCAGGUGCGAAAGCGUGGGGAGCAAACAGGAUUAGAUACCCUGGUAGUCCACGCCGUAAACGAUGUCGAUUUGGAGGUUGUGCCCUUGAGGCGUGGCUUCCGGAGCUAACGCGUUAAAUCGACCGCCUGGGGAGUACGGCCGCAAGGUUAAAACUCAAAUGAAUUGACGGGGGCCCGCACAAGCGGUGGAGCAUGUGGUUUAAUUCGAUGCAACGCGAAGAACCUUACCUGGUCUUGACAUCCACAGAACUUUCCAGAGAUGGAUUGGUGCCUUCGGGAACUGUGAGACAGGUGCUGCAUGGCUGUCGUCAGCUCGUGUUGUGAAAUGUUGGGUUAAGUCCCGCAACGAGCGCAACCCUUAUCCUUUGUUGCCAGCGGUUAGGCCGGGAACUCAAAGGAGACUGCCAGUGAUAAACUGGAGGAAGGUGGGGAUGACGUCAAGUCAUCAUGGCCCUUACGACCAGGGCUACACACGUGCUACAAUGGCAUAUACAAAGAGAAGCGACCUCGCGAGAGCAAGCGGACCUCAUAAAGUAUGUCGUAGUCCGGAUUGGAGUCUGCAACUCGACUCCAUGAAGUCGGAAUCGCUAGUAAUCGUAGAUCAGAAUGCUACGGUGAAUACGUUCCCGGGCCUUGUACACACCGCCCGUCACACCAUGGGAGUGGGUUGCAAAAGAAGUAGGUAGCUUAACCUUCGGGAGGGCGCUUACCACUUUGUGAUUCAUGACUGGGGUGA
rnacentral:rRNA from 1 species